ensembl:rRNA 5S_rRNA 5S ribosomal RNA
GUCUACGGCCAUACCACCCUGAACGCGCCCGAUCUCGUCUGAUCUCGGAAGCUAAGCAGUGUCGGGCCUGGUUAGCACUUGGAUGGGAGACCAUCUGGGAAUAUCGGGUGCUGUAGGCU